GAUGAACGCUGGCGGCGUGCCUAAUACAUGCAAGUCGAGCGAACAGAUGAGAAGCUUGCUUCUCUGAUGUUAGCGGCGGACGGGUGAGUAACACGUGGGUAACCUACCUAUAAGACUGGGAUAACUCCGGGAAACCGGGGCUAAUACCGGAUAAUAUUUUGAACCGCAUGGUUCAAUAGUGAAAGACGGUUUCGGCUGUCACUUAUAGCUGGACCCGCGCCGUAUUAGCUAGUUGGUAAGGUAACGGCUUACCAAGGCGACGAUACGUAGCCGACCUGAGAGGGUGAUCGGCCUCACUGGAACUGAGACACGGUCCAGACUCCUACGGGAGGCAGCAGUAGGGAAUCUUCCGCAAUGGGCGAAAGCCUGACGGAGCAACGCCGCGUGAGUGAUGAAGGUCUUCGGAUCGUAAAACUCUGCUAUCAGGGAAGAACAAAUGUGUAAGUAACUGUGCACAUCUUGACGGUACCUGAUCAGAAAGCCACGGCUAACUACGUGCCAGCCGCCGCAGUAA
rnacentral:rRNA from 1 species